rfam:Butyrivibrio proteoclasticus strain P18 genome assembly, contig: Ga0066879_144
GUUUGCGUGACCGAGAUGGCUUAUGGUGCUGCACUGCUAAUGCAGAGCACGGAAAACUGUGCCGAAGGUUCGAAUCCUUCCGCAAACG